GUGGGGAAUCUUGCGCAAUGGGCGAAAGCCUGACGCAGCCAUGCCGCGUGAAUGAUGAAGGUCUUAGGAUUGUAAAAUUCUUUCACCGGGGACGAUAAUGACGGUACCCGGAGAAGAAGCUCCGGCUAACUUCGUGCCAGCAGCCGCGGUAAUACGAAGGGGGGUAGCGUUGCUCGGAAUUACUGGGCGUAAAGGGCGCGUAGGCGGACAGCUUAGUCAGAGGUGAAAGCCCAGGGCUCAACCUUGGAAUUGCCUUUGAUACUGGCUGUCUUGAGUUUGGGAGAGGUGAGUGGAACUCCGAGUGUAGAGGUGAAAUUCGUAGAUAUUCGGAAGAACACCAGUGGCGAAGGCGACUCACUGGCCCAAUACUGACGCUGAGGCGCGAAAGCGUGGGGAGCAAACAGGAUUAGAAACCCGUGUAGUCC
rnacentral:rRNA from 1 species